AACAAUGUAAAUAACUAUCGCAAUCGUAGUUGCGGUUAUACUACAUGAAAAGUAGACAUACAACUUUUGUUGAUCUAUCGUUUUUGUCUUAUACUAGAACCAGAUGAUUGAUUGCUUCUACACUUGUUCUGUUGCAUAAUUUUGUACUGAAAGAAGCUUCUUUCAUUUUGGUCGUCAUUAAUCUUUUGAUUUUCCAUUGUGUACCGAACAUUUUUUUCUCAGGAGUUGUUGAUCAUUUGUCUUGCUCUUUCGUUUUAUUUAAGGUGUUGUUGAUCAUGCUCUAUUAUCUUGCUCUCGUGCCAAAUGAAAUUAUGCUUCUUUAGUUGUUGAUCUUGCUCUAAUUCAAGACCUUUGAUCAUACAAUGAUUCAUGUUGCUUUCCUUUUUAUUUGUGCUUCCAUCCUGCUUCCUCAAUAUGAGUGAAAUGAACUGUUGAUUCUAAGUUGCUUCUAUUUUCAUCUCAAAUGUGAUUCAUUUGUUUUACCAGACAUGACCCACUAGAUGUUGUUAAUACUCAGUUAUCUGCAAAGCAUAAUGCAAACUUUCAAUUUUAUCUAUAACUAACUUUAUCAUAAAUAAGCGUAGUUAACUAUUCAUU
rnacentral:lncRNA from 1 species